rnacentral:rRNA from 1 species
GGUGACAUAGAUAUUUUGGACUUCUUAGAGGGACAGGUCGGGUUUACCGGCUGGAAGUUUGAGGCAAUAACAGGUCUGUGAUGCCCUUCGAUAAUCUGGGCCGCACGCGCGCUACAAUGAUGAAUUCAACGAGUUUUUUUCGGGGUUAGAAUGCUUUGGAAUUUCCUUAUUUGAAAAGAUUGGGUAAUCUUGUUAAUGUUCAUCUUGCUGGGGCUAGAUUUUUGCAAUUAUUAAUCUCCAACGAGGAACC